GGGUUGGAAUAUUUGGCCUAACAUGCUCGAAGGCAACUUGAUAAGCAUUAUAAACUGUUUGAGGAUUAAUUUUAAUUGAUGCUUUUGCAUCUGCAAGUGUAGCAACUUCCUCGUUUGAAAGAUCUAAAGCCUUAUAAAUAUUUGAAUACCAAAAAUGAGGACCUCCCAAUUUCAUUGUAGGAUUUAACAUUGCAGCAACACCAAACAUAGGAGGGAUAGGGAAAAAAUAUUUUUUAAAAUUUUGUUUCAUUUCAUUUAUAGCAAGUUCAU
rnacentral:lncRNA from 1 species